rnacentral:tRNA from 1 species
ACAGCGGUGGACAAACUGGUAAAGUCACUGCCCUUUCAAGGCAGCGCGAAUAUCGCAUUGCGGGUUCGAGACCCGUCCGCUGUGCAA